CAUGCUGUCUCAGGUUCUCUUCUGACACACACAUGCUGUCUCAGGUUCUCUUCUGACGCACACAUGCUGUCUCAGGUUCUCUUCUGAUGCACACAUGCUGUCUCAGGUUCUCUUCUGACACACACAUGCUGUCUCAGGUUCUCUUCUGACGCACACAUGCUGUCUCAGGUUCUCUUCUGACGCACACAUGCUGUCUCAGGUUCUCUUCUGACACACACAUGCUGUCUCAGGUUCUCUUCUGACGCACACAUGCUGUCUCAGGUUCUCUUCUGACACACACAUGCUGUCUCAGGUUCUCUUCUGACACACACAUGCUGUCUCAGGUUCUCUUCUGACGCACACAUGCUGUCUCAGGUUCUCUUCUGACGCACACAUGCUGUCUCAGGUUCCUGCAUGGCUUCCCUGUCAUGAUGGGCUGUGAGCCAUGAGCCAAAAUGAAACCUUCCUUCCUUCCCUAUGCUGCCCUUCGCAGGCAUUUUGUCACAGGUAACAGACAUAUAAAGGGAGGGCUGUGGCAGAUGUAGGGUGAUCAGGCAGGGGAACACCUGGGGAUGCGACUGUUGCCAUUAUUCUAGUAUCCUAGGGGUUAAUGUGGACUCUCCAGUGUGUUCUUUAGCCUAUAGCUCCAGGCAGUAGGCUGAGAUGUCAUGGCCAUGGCUUGUGGCCUCCAAAGAGUUACCUGAAGAAGGCCCAGUGCUCUGUGGGUACUGAUCACAGCUUUGCAAAGUUAAUUGAUUUGCUAGAUUCUCAGCAAGGAAGAAGCAGAAAACCAUAUUGCAAACCUAUAGCCUCUGCUUGUGCUCUGGGAAGCUGAGCUCACUGAAGGAAAAGGGUUCAUGUGACAGAAGAGAAGGGGCAGUCACUGAUGGCAUUCUAGAGUGAGAUGGGAGGUGGGGGAGCUGGCACAUUGUAUGACAAGCAGUGGCAGCUAAUGGACUCUGUGCAGCAUUCAUGUUUGAGAUGGGCCUAGAGGAAGAUGAG